CUUGAAACACGGACCAAGGAGCUUUUAUAAUCUCUCUUAAGGGAAGAUGGAAAUAUAACAAUACAAUUUUGUUUGUUAAAAUUUCCCGCACUCCCAGGGCGCUUGUAUCUCGCUUUGCGAAUCGAUGCGCACCUAGAGCGUACACGAUGAUACCCGAAAGAUGGUGAACUAUGCCUGGCCAGGACGAAGCCAGGGGAAACCCUGGUGGAGGUCCGCAGCGAUUCUGACGUGCAAAUCGAUCGUCGGAGCUGGGUAUAGGGGCGAAAGACCAAUCGAACCAUCUAGUAGCUGGUUCCCUCUGAAGUUUCCCUCAGGAUA
rnacentral:rRNA from 1 species